UAACAGAAGCAGGACCAUGAGAGCAGCUCCCAUCAGUGGGCUAAGGAGAUUAUGUGGAUUCGUUCAUUUAAUUCUCACAAGAAGCCAGCAGCUGCAUCCUGAGGAGCAGCAGUGUCAUUCCAGUGUCCACACACCAAGGAGCCAAAGACUCACCCUGCCUGCAAACAGGACAGUCUCCUGAUGAAGGUGAGAUGAGCCACGAAGGAUGAGAACUUCCCAUUGCACUUGCCUGAGAUCCAAACUUCUUAUCUGGGAGCACAAAGCCAGUCUGCCACCCUUCUAGCAGGAGGGUAUGGCCUGUCUCUCAA